rnacentral:lncRNA from 1 species
UUCAGUUUGUCAAAUGUGCAUGUCCUCAAUAUGUGGAUUCAUCUGCCGUAGGACAAUACAACAACUGUUUCAUCUCGAGCAUUUUAGUUGUAUGGUAGUAAACUAAAUGUUGGUACUCACGGUGGACACUUCAACUCAUGUAGCAAUCCGACAAUGAUAAAAUUAUGGUUACGCAUACUCCUUUCAGCAUCUACCUUGAAUACUAGCUACUAAAUGAGGGAAGUUGGCUCAAAGCAAUACACAUCUCCACUAGAUACUUUCUCUUACGGUUUGCUCAUUUUUCUGCUGUGC